UGGGGAAUCUUGGACAAUGGGCGAAAGCCUGAUCCAGCCAUGCCGCGUGUGUGAAGAAGGUCUUCGGAUUGUAAAGCACUUUAAGUUGGGAGGAAGGGCAGUUACCUAAUACGUAUCUGUUUGACGUUACCGACAGAAUAAGCACCGGCUAACUCUGUGCCAGCAGCCGCGGUAAUACAGAGGGUGCAAGCGUUAAUCGGAAUUACUGGGCGUAAAGCGCGCGUAGGUGGUUUGUUAAGUUGGAUGUGAAAUCCCCGGGCUCAACCUGGGAACUGCAUUCAAAACUGACAAGCUAGAGUAUGGUAGAGGGUGGUGGAAUUUCCUGUGUAGCGGUGAAAUGCGUAGAUAUAGGAAGGAACACCAGUGGCGAAGGCGACCACCUGGACUGAUACUGACACUGAGGUGCGAAAGCGUGGGGAGCAAACAGGAUUAGAUACCCUUGUAGUCCCUGAGCGGGCUGGCAAGGCGCAU
rnacentral:rRNA from 1 species